AGUGAACGCUGGCGGCGUGCCUAAUACAUGCAAGUCGAACGGAGUGGCGCACGGGUGAGUAAUGUAUAGCUCAUCUUCCCUACACUAGAGGACAACAGUUGGAAACGGCUGCUAAUACUCUAUAGUGUAGGAUGAGGCUAUCUUGUAUCAGCUAGUUGGUGAGGUAAUGGCUCACCAAGGCUAUGACGCAUCACUGGUCUGAGAGGAUGAUCAGUCACACGGGAACUGAGACACGGUCCAGACGCCUACGGGAGGCAGCAGUAGGGAAUAUUGCGCAAUGGGGGAAACCCUGAAGCAGCAACGCCGCGUGGAGGAUGACACUUUGAGGAGCGUAAACGCCUGUUGUUAGGGAAGCGGUACCUAACGAAUAAGCACCGGCUAACUCCGUGCCAGCAGCCGCGGUAAUUC
rnacentral:rRNA from 1 species